UGGAUCACCUCCUAACAGGGAGACAACAACUGAUUUUGAUGUCUGAGUAAUUUAUUCUCAGGCCGAAAUCCUGUCAUCUCGAAGGUCGAUCGGUACCUCAACUUGAGGGUCUAGAGAAUUUAUUCUGCUAGGCCAACUCAAUUUCAGUUCCUAAACUUUGUCUAGGUCACCCACUAAGGGUAAAUAACUCCUGGGCCAUUAGCUCAGGUGGUUAGAGCGCACCCCUGAUAAGGGUGAGGUCCCUGGUUCAAGUCCAGGAUGGCCCAUUCGUGUUUGGGGGUUUAGCUCAGUUGGUAGAGCGCCUGCUUUGCAAGCAGGAUGUCAGCGGUUCGAGUCCGCUAACCUCCAUCCAACAGGAGGCCCCUUGGUUCGAAUUCUGAAAGGAGUUCCUGGUGAGGUGACAUAGAUUUUAUUCGGAACUGGCAUCAAACGAUGACCAAGUAAGCAACGCUGAGUCAAUUGACUCCAGCCUCGUUUCAUUCCAGAGUUGAUGAUCUAACAAGAGAUCAGCCGGUUGAAACGAUGCUGGACUCAAGGCUUUUAACCAAAGUCUUAAGUUUCAGCAGAACCUUGACAACUGCAUAGGUAAGUCUGGAAAUAAAGCAUCUCAUGGAUGCCCAGACGCGAAAGAGAUCAGGUGAGGGUGAAUAACCUGAGCUUGAGAUUUUUGUGUGUUUGGGAAAAAUUCUAUUGAGUUUUUAGAGCCGAGAAAUCCAAUGGUUCUUUUCAGCCAUCCAAGUUAACUGCGUGGAGGGCUUGAAGAGUUUGAUCCUGUAAUUCAAACCAGUUCAUUUUUGAACCAGGUGAAUGCAGAGAGAAUGGGCCUCAACAGCCUGAAGYCAUUGGAGGAUAAUUUGGUCAA
rnacentral:tRNA from 1 species